rnacentral:rRNA from 1 species
UUUGGAUAAGUAUUUGUUAGGCCUUAUAAGAAAAAAGUUAUUAACUUAAGGAAUUAUAACAAAGAAGUAACACGUAAUAAAUUUAUUUUAUUUAGUGUGUAUCAAUCGAGUUUCUGACCUAUCAGCUUUUGAUGUUAGGGUAUUGGCCUAACAUGGCUAUGACGGGUAACGGGGAAUUAGAGUUCGAUUCCGGAGAGGGAGCCUGAGAAAUAGCUACCACAUCUAAGGAAGGCAGCAGGCGCGUAAAUUACCCAAUUCUAAAGAAGAGAGGUAGUGACAAGAAAUAACAAUGCAAGGCCAAUUUUUGGUUUUGUAAUUGGAAUGGUGGGAAUUUAAAACCUUCCCAGAGUAACAAUUGGAGGGCAAGUCUGGUGCCAGCAGCCGCGGUAAUUCCAGCUCCAAUAGCGUAUAUUAAAAUUGUUGCAGUUAAAACGCUCGUAGUUGAAUUUCAAAGAAUCGAUAUUUUAUUGUAACUAUUCUAGGGGAACUA